UGGGGAAUAUUGGACAAUGGGCGCAAGCCUGAUCCAGCCAUGCCGCGUGAGAGAUGAAGGCCCUAGGGUUGUAAAGCUCUUUCACUGGUGAAGAUAAUGACGUUAACCGGAGAAGAAGCCCCGGUUAACUCCGUGCCAGCAGCCGCGGUAAUACGAAGGGGGCUAGCGUUGUUCGGAUUUACUGGGCGUAAAGCGCACGUAGGCGGACUUUUAAGUCAGGGGUGAAAUCCCGGGGCUCAACCCCGGAACUGCCUUUGAUACUGGAAGUCUUGAGUAUGGUAGAGGUGAGUGGAAUUCCGAGUGUAGAGGUGAAAUUCGUAGAUAUUCGGAGGAACACCAGUGGCGAAGGCGGAUCACUGGACCAUUACUGACGCUGAGGUGCGAAAGCGUGGGGAGCAAACAGG
rnacentral:rRNA from 1 species